UACGUAGGGUCCGAGCGUUGUCCGGAAUUAUUGGGCGUAAAGGGCUCGUAGGCGGUUCGUCACGUCGGGAGUGAAAACUCGGGGCUUAACCCCGAGCCUGCUUCCGAUACGGGCAGACUAGAGGUAGGCAGGGGAGAGCGGAACUCCUGGUGUAGCGGUGAAAUGCGCAGAUAUCAGGAGGAACACCGGUGGCGAAGGCGGUUCUCUGGGCCUUACCUGACGCUGAGGAGCGAAAGCGUGGGGAGCAAACAGG
rnacentral:rRNA from 1 species